CCAAGGAGUCUAACAUGUGCGCGAGUCGUAGGGUUACGCUCAAAGCCCGAAGGCGCAAUGAAAGUGAAGGUCGGCCUCGAUUGCCGUUUACCUAGGCGGGAUCCGUUCGGGCUUACCGGUCGUUCGCGGCUGAGCCCGGCGGCGCACCGCCGGCCCGUCUCGACCGCAUCGCCGGUGAGGCGGAGCGAGAGCGUACACGUUGGGACCCGAAAGAUGGUGAACUAUGCCCGGGCAGGACGAAGCCAGAGGAAACUCUGGUGGAGGUCCGUAGCGAUUCUGACGUGCAAAUCGAUCGUCGGACCUGGGUAUAGGGGCGAAAGACUAAUCGAACCAUCUAGUAGCUGGUUCCCUCCGAAGUUUCCCUCAGGAUAGCUGGUGCUCGAGGAGGGCAGUCUCAUCCGGUAAAGCGAAUGAUUAGAGGCCUUGGGGCCGAAACGACCUCAACCUAUUCUCAAACUUUCAAUGGGUGAGAAGUCCGGCUUGCUUGACUGAAGCCCGGAC
rnacentral:rRNA from 1 species